GGCGGGAGAGAGGAAGUGGUAGCUGCAGCCUCUCGGCACCUCUGGCCCUCUGGUGGAGAUCGCCAAGGGUCACAGCCUGGCAUCUGCCCUCUGACCGGACUUCACCAUCCUUGCUAGACCCUGGAGAGCUUGCCCAUGGCAACAGUGCAACACACUGAGGGCUGUGUGGCAGCGCAGGGGCUCUGAGCUCCUGACCUGAGUCACAUGGACCUGAGGCUAACACCCAGCCCUGCACCUACAAUCAGGGCAAGACCCUGGCAGUUGUCCACACCCCUCCUGAGAUCCAGUACCUCCCUAUAAAAUGAGGGAAGUAAACCCCUGCCUCACGGGGUUUCAAUGAAGGGUAAGUGAAAUAAGGUAUGUAGUGUCUGACCCGCUUAGAUGCCCCAGACACGACAGCUAUUAGGGUUGUUGGCAUAAUUAUUUUGGGGGAGGGAUGAAGUCGUAGAGGAAACAUAACACCCCAAGCUUUCUGCUGACUAUUGAGGCACCAUGAUGAGCAUUUUACACAACCUGCAGCAGGGCCGCCUGGCCAGCAUUUCUGAGGGGUCACUUCCACAGCUGGCCUGGCUCUGUUGCCUGACUUUUGCUCUGCCUGUCCCCAUGUGUCAUCCUGCCCUAGGACGGUCCUCAAACCUGCAGUUAGGGGCAUUUGAGUGUGUAGCUGCCCUGUCAGCCAAGACAAGGGGAGUGAGGCCAAGGCAUGAGCUUUCUGAACAGGGUGGUUUUCAAUACACUCCCUAAUCAAGAAGCAGGUGUGAGCUGCUCCCAAGCACCCACACCCUCCUGCUGCUCCUGCCUUCUCUCUCUCUCUCUCUCUCUCUCUCUCUCUUUCUUUUUCUAUCUCUUCUUUCUCUUCCCCCUUCAGCUACCCAUUUAGGGCAGAGAGGCAGUCGAGGGGCAGCUGAGGAGAGGCAGGCCUCGGUCCAUGGCCCUCCAGACCUAAUUUCUUUCCUAACAGGCCACAAGUUCCAAAACUGGCCUCACUCAGAUCUGAGACAAGAUGCAGAGACCUCUGUUUCUCUUCUCGUCUUUUUCAGGAAACAUCUGGAAACCCCUGGUGGGAGAUCUGCCACAUGGCCUCAAGUGAAUUUUAGAUUCCGGCAUAUCCUUCCAAAGUUCUUCAUUUGAUGAAUAUUAUGAGAAAUGACACGUAUGUCUUUCUCCCAGAUUCAUAGCUUGAACCCAAAGUACAGUGAAAUCAGAACUAACCACACAGAGUAAUUUGGGGAAGGGAGUUAUUUGUGACACAAAGACUUCAUCACUUUGUAAAAGUAUUUGCUACUGAUUACGUUAAAUACCAGUCUUCCUGAGUGCCUGCAAAACAUACUUUUUUUUUUUUUUUUUUUUUGAGACAGAGUCUCACUCUUUCACCAAGGCUGGAGU